AGUAGGAUUUGAUGUUUGUGAGCGUAUCUCAGGAGGUCUGCACAAUCUGGGACUUCCUAGUGGCAUAAGAUUUGUCCUCCAUAAGUGAAAGAAGUCUUUCUUUUUAUUUUUUUAACUAUCCCUCAUUUAACUCUGAUUUGAUUUUUCUGAACUGGGCUCCUUGUUAACUGGGAAUUUGAUUCCAAAAACCUGGCUCCAAAUGAGAUACAGAAGAUAAAUUUUCUUUCUCCUAGGCUCCUAAAAGAGGAACAAUUCAUUCUGGGAUCCAGAAACUAAGCCCAGAAUAAAAAUUCUUGCAGAUCAUAAGCAGAGCUCAGAAUUAAACAAAUGGAAUUGUCUUUCAGGGUUAUCUUCAUUGAGGAACCACACAACUGCCUCAGAAAAGCAAAAACAGAUGUCCAUUUCAAGUUCUGCUUAAGAGCAUGUCAGGAGUCACAGUCUCCAGCGACUCAGGUCUUUGAUGCUGUUACCUAAUCCUACUUUAUUUCCUGCAAGCAACCACAGAACCAACUCUGAUCCUCAACAGGAAAUUCUGAGCAUUCACCAUUUCAGAUCCUUUUAAGCUGAUUAUGGUUCUUAGAGGUAAGAGAUCCAAGGCUUUCCAUAAUCUAGACAAUGAGAAGCCUGUCUAUUUGAACUAGCUCGGCACUGGAUUCGUUAUACCCAAUUGCCUUUACCUUUUCUAAGAAUGAUAGAGGGCUUCAAUUAAUUCUUUAAAUACCCUUGUUCGUGUAAAUACCAUCCCAUCACACAUUGAUUCUGAAAGUGAUAGCUCAAGGUCAUUCAGCAGGUCAGCGGCAGAACAAGGUCAGAUUCCAGUUCCAGCCAACAGGGGUUCUAGGGUCAUAUAACCCAAGUCAGUCUCUUUUUCCCUUUGACAUAUUUUAUUCUGGACACAGAGCUAUGGAAUUAAAAAUGGAGGGGGGCAAGCUUAAGAGAAAUCAUAUAUUGAACAAUGAUAAGUGGCAUGAACAUGUGAUAAAUAACAUUUACGUAUUCCCUGUGAACUGGUUCUCAGUAAUCUGAAAGGCACUAGCAAAAGCAAAUGUCCUAAAUUACCCAAGGGUAUUACCCUAUGUUCCUUUCUUUAGCACGAAACUACCCCCCCAAGAAACCAGAAUAAGUAUUAAGAAGGAAAUAAGAUGUCUGAAGAGUUAGGGACUCUCAUCAUUUUUUUUUUGCUAUUUCUAAAGAUUUUGCUUUGAGGUUAAUUAGGUAUAAACAUCUGAAACACCUUUCUUGGGAUAUUUGAUCAUGGCAAGUGGGAGAGACGUCAGAAUAUUUCAGUCUCAAGUGGGAAUAACCUCAAAGCUAUUCACAUUUCUCAGCAGUAGACAAAAGAAUGGUCAGGGAACAUUUCAAAGCUGAUGAAGUCUCUUCUAGUCUAAAGUCCAAAGAGUCUAAAGAUCAUAUAUACCUCUAUAGCUCUUACAUCUACUCUAUAAUCUGUCACUUAGUAGAUGCUCAACAAAUU
rnacentral:lncRNA from 13 species